UGGGGAAUAUUGGGCAAUGGGCGAAAGCCUGACCCAGCAACGCCGCGUGAAGGAAGAAGGCCUUCGGGUUGUAAACUUCUUUUACCAGGGACGAAGGACGUGACGGUACCUGG
rnacentral:rRNA from 1 species